AUACGGAGGGGGCUAGCGUUGUUCGGAAUUACUGGGCGUAAAGCGCGUGUAGGCGGAUCGUUAAGUCAGGGGUGAAAGCCCGGGGCUCAACCCCGGAACUGCCCUUGAUACUGGCGAUCUAGAGUCCGGAAGAGGUGGGCGGAAUUCCCGGUGUAGAGGUGAAAUUCGUAGAUAUCUGGAGGAACACCAGUGGCGAAGGCGGCUCACUGGUCCGGCACUGACGCUGAGACGCGAAAGCGUGGGGAGCAAACAGGAUUAGAUACCCUUGUAGUCC
rnacentral:rRNA from 1 species